GACGAACGCUGGCGGCGUGCCUAAUACAUGCAAGUCGAGCGAGCGGAACUAACAGAUUUACUUCGGUAAUGACGUUAGGAAAGCGAGCGGCGGAUGGGUGAGUAACACGUGGGGAACCUGCCCCAUAGUCUGGGAUACCACUUGGAAACAGGUGCUAAUACCGGAUAAGAAAGCAGAUCGCAUGAUCAGCUUUUAAAAGGCGGCGUAAGCUGUCGCUAUGGGAUGGCCCCGCGGUGCAUUAGCUAGUUGGUAAGGUAAAGGCUUACCAAGGCGAUGAUGCAUAGCCGAGUUGAGAGACUGAUCGGCCACAUUGGGACUGAGACACGGCCCAAACUCCUACGGGAGGCAGCAGUAGGGAAUCUUCCACAAUGGACGCAAGUCUGAUGGAGCAAUGCCGCGUGAGUGAAGAAGGUUUUCGGAUCGUAAAGCUCUGUUGUUGGUGAAGAAGGAUAGAGGUAGUAACUGGCCUUUAUUUGACGGUAAUCAACCAGAAAGUCACGGCUAACUACGUGCCAGCAGCCGCGGUAAUACGUAGGUGGCAAGCGUUGUCCGGAUUUAUUGGGCGUAAAGCGAGCGCAGGCGGAAGAAUAAGUCUGAUGUGAAAGCCCUCGGCUUAACCGAGGAACUGCAUCGGAAACUGUUUUUCUUGAGUGCAGAAGAGGAGAGUGGAACUCCAUGUGUAGCGGUGGAAUGCGUAGAUAUAUGGAAGAACACCAGUGGCGAAGGCGGCUCUCUGGUCUGCAACUGACGCUGAGGCUCGAAAGCAUGGGUAGCGAGCAGGAUUAGAUACCCUGGUAGUCCAUGCCGUAAACGAUGAGUGCUAAGUGUUGGGAGGUUUCCGCCUCUCAGUGCUGCAGCUAACGCAUUAAGCACUCCGCCUGGGGAGUACGACCGCAAGGUUGAAACUCAAAGGAAUUGACGGGGGCCCGCACAAGCGGUGGAGCAUGUGGUUUAAUUCGAAGCAACGCGAAGAACCUUACCAGGUCUUGACAUCUAGUGCCAUUUGUAGAGAUCAAAGUUCCCUUCGGGGACGCUAAGACAGGUGGUGCAUGGCUGUCGUCAGCUCGUGUCGUGAGAUGUUGGGUUAAGUCCCGCAACGAGCGCAACCCUUGUUAUUAGUUGCCAGCAUUAAGUUGGGCACUCUAAUGAGACUGCCGGUGACAAACCGGAGGAAGGUGGGGAUGACGUCAAGUCAUCAUGCCCCUUAUGACCUGGGCUACACACGUGCUACAAUGGGCAGUACAACGAGAAGCGAGCCUGCGAAGGCAAGCGAAUCUCUGAAAGCUGUUCUCAGUUCGGACUGCAGUCUGCAACUCGACUGCACGAAGCUGGAAUCGCUAGUAAUCGCGGAUCAGCACGCCGCGGUGAAUACGUUCCCGGGCCUUGUACACACCGCCCGUCACACCAUGGGAGUCUGCAAUGCCCAAAGCCGGUGGCCUAACCUUCGGGAAGGAGCCGUCUAAGGCAGGGCAGAUGACUGGGGUGAAGUCGUAACAAGGUAGCCGUAGGAGAACC
rnacentral:rRNA from 1 species